GCAAAUAACGGCUAGCUGAACCAGGCAUCAUGGCCAGACAAUAACAAAUGCAUUUUUGAACGCUUACAAGGUUUUUAUAGAAAGGUCAUUAUGAUAUAAAUGUUCUAGCUGUGUGGGGAUCCAUCGUCACUGGUAACGGAGCUUCACAUCUGAAGGAAGUGAUGGCUACUAUGGAUGCCCCAAGUUUGUCCCAGCCUGCUUUCACGAGAAUUGAAGCUCAAGUUGGUGCUUCGUGGGAAUGUAUUUCUCAAGAUGAAUUACUAGCAGCAGGUGCUGAAGAACGAAGGCUGGCCAUAGAAGACAACUGUUUCCACCAAGGGGUUCCUGCGAUUACAGUGGUAGCAGAUGGAGGUUGGAGCAAGAGAACACACAAACA